rnacentral:lncRNA from 1 species
UCUGAGAGGAGUCAAGACACUUUUGUCAGGCUGCUAGAACCUCCGGGAAAGGGAGAAGGCAAAGAUGUGUGCUAUAUAAAACAGAAAGUGGAUCAUUAGUGUCCAUGGAUCUAGUAAUCACAGAUUUGAGUAUUUGAUAGUAACCUUUAGGGAUAGAGAUAGAGAAUAGCAAUAGAUUUAACUUUCCUGAACCAGAAAUACGAAUUGUUUGUUCUGCAAGAUAAAUCAGCACUUUCACUGGACUGAUUGGACUGAGAAGGCAAGGCUGAGUGAGCUGAAAGAAAUAGCAAGCCCAACUAAAACUGACUUGUACUAUAGGGAUUGUGAUCUCGUAUAUUCAGGAAGUCCAGAGGCAGAGGUCGUUUAUUUAAUGCCGGU